rnacentral:rRNA from 1 species
UACGUAGGGGGCAAGCGGUGUCCGGAUUUAUUGGGCGUAAAGAGCGUGUAGGCGGCCGCACAGGUCCGUUGUGAAAACUGGAGGCUUAACCUUCAGACGUCGAUGGAAACCGUGCGGCUAGAGUCCGGAAGAGGAGAAUGGAAUUCCUGGUGUAGCGGUGAAAUGCGCAGAUAUCAGGAAGAACACCCGUGGCUAAGGCGGUUCUCUAGUACGGUACUGACGCUGAGACGCGAAAGCGUGGGGAGCGAACAGG